UUUUUUUUUUUUACUGUCAGACGGCUGUGUUGCCCAGUGACUGUGAAUGUCCUGCCAAAUGUGAUGGUUUCGCAUGCCAUUACUGCAACGAAUGGUGCCGUAAGGAGCAAUCCUAGAUGCUAUACAAGCCAUGAUCUUGUGCCAUCUUGUGCCAUCUGCCAUGAAUCUUGUCUUGGUGGACAAGCUGGAGAACUGGGCUGGACCAAACCCAGAGAAAGGAGGAGAGAGAAAAAAAAAAAAGCGAGGAAAAGGCGCUGUUCCGGGCACAGCAGGAAAACCGUCUGAACAAGCGGGGCUUGCUGCGCAGUCACACGUUUUGUCACACUAUGGAACUGAGUCUGUAAUACUGAGCCCUCGGGAAUGCAUAGCUUGUUCCUGUGCCGUUGGGGUCCCUUUUAUCCAGUGGACCACGGUGAUUCAACAGGGGGUAAAGAUGAUAUGAACGGCCACGUUUCCUGGUCAUCUGCUUCAAGGCUACCGUUCCUCUGUUGUUGCUGCUGCUACUGCAGUGUAAUGAACUGCUUGUGGACCUAGCUGCUGAAAUGGAGUGAUUCUAGGUUCUUCUGAGCCCUGGAAUUUGCUCUGCCACGGAAGGGCAUGCUAUGGCCAGCAACAUGUUGUCGUGUUUUUUUUUUCCCCUGAAAGAAAUGCGAGACUGUAAAGGACAGAGUAAAGUUUUCUGCAUUUA